rnacentral:rRNA from 1 species
AUUGAACGCUGGCGGCGUGCUUAACACAUGCAAGUCGAUCGGUAACGCGGGGGCAACCCUGGCGACGAGAGGCGGACGGGUGAGGAACGCUUGGGAAUCUGCCCUUCAACGGGGGACAACCCGGGGAAACUCGGGCUAAUACCGCAUACGCUCCACGGAGGAAAGCCGGGGACCGCAAGGCCUGGCACUGAAGGAUGAGCCCAAGCCGGAUUAGCUAGUUGGCGGGGUAACGGCCCACCAAGGCGACGAUCCGUAGCUGGUCUGAGAGGACGAUCAGCGAAACCGGAACUGAGACACGGUCCGGACUCCUACGGGAGGCAGCAGUGGGGAAUAUUGGACAAUGGGGGAAACCCUGAUCCAGCGACGCCGCGUGGGUGAAGAAGGCCUGCGGGUUGUAAAGCCCUUUCGGUAGGGACGAAAGCUCUUGCCUUAAUACGGCAGGAGGUUGACUUAACCUACAUAAGAAGCACCGGCUAACUCUGUGCCAGCAGCCGCAGUAAUAC